AUCUUGUUGCUAGUCGAAGCGCAAUUUGGAAAAGCAAACCUCAUCUGACCGUGACGGCGACCGGAGUGGAGGAACCCCGUCGGAUCCACACGAGAACGCGAAGGCGUCAUAUCGGACACGCCCCGCACGAGUCAAGAGUCGAAACACCGGCUGGAAAAAGAUGCCCCGGAACCCGACGAGCGCAGGCAGGCGGCCGCAACCGCACCCACACCCGACGCAUCCGCCGCUCACGACAACGGCCGCCGGAGCAGCAGCUCAACACCAUCGUCCUCCCCCAUAUGUCACUCCUGAGCUGCCACCCGCGAGCCACCACCACCACCCCAAACCCCGUCCAUUCCCCUCGCGGUCCGCAGCGCAAGCCAUGAUGCCCCUGACGCGGCGGCGGCUGCUGGCCACGCUGCUCUGCCUGUUCGCGCUCCCCGCCCCGGCGCGGUCCCAGAACGCGAGCGCCACGCCGGCGCCUGCCAGCGUGGAGGGAUUCAACUGCUCCGCGAACGGCACCUACCCGUGCCAGGCCUACGCGCUGUACCGGGCGGGCUUCGCGGGGGUGCCGCUCGACCUCUCGGCGGUGGGCGACCUCUUCGCCGUCAGCCGCUUCAUGCUCGCGCACGCCAACAACCUGUCCACCUCGGCGGCGCCGGCCGCGGGGCAGCCGCUGCUCGUGCCGCUCCAGUGCGGCUGCCCCUCCGGGUCGCCCAACGCCUACGCCCCCACGCAGUACCAGAUCAGCUCCGGCGACACCUUCUGGAUCGUCUCCGUCACCAAGCUGCAGAACCUCACGCAGUACCAGGCCGUGGAGCGCGUCAACCCCACGGUGGUGCCUACCAAGCUCGAGGUCGGCGACAUGGUCACGUUCCCCAUCUUCUGCCAGUGCCCCACCGCCGCCCAAAACGCCACCGGGCUCGUCACCUACGUGAUGCAACAGGGCGACACCUACGCCUCCAUCGCCGCCGCCUUCGCCGUCGACGCGCAGUCCCUCGUCUCCCUGAACGGGCCCGAGCGGGGCACGCAGCUGUUCUCCGAGAUACUAGUGCCGCUCCGUCGGCAGGUGCCGCAGUGGCUGCCGCCAAUCGUGACCCGCAACGACGAGUCGGCCACACCGCCGUCCCCGCCGCCUACCGCCACGCCCGGUCCGAGCGACGUGGCCGACAACCGAGACGGGGUGGUCACCGGGCUGGCCGUCGGGUUGGGCGUGGUCGGUGGGCUUUGGCUGCUGCAGCUGCUGCUGCUGGGCUGCCUGUGGAGGCGGCUCAAGGCGAAGGGGCGGCGAGGGGACGCGGUGGCGAGCGGCGACGGCGGCGAGGGCGGCAGGUCUGGCAAGAGCGCGUCCGGCUCCGGCGGCGUGGGAGGGGAGAGAUUCCUAGUGAGUGACAUAUCCGAGUGGCUGGACAAGUACAGGGUGUUCAAGGGGGAGGAGCUGGAGCGUGGCACAGAUGGUUUCGACGACGCGCACCUCAUCCAGGGCAGCGUGUAUAAGGCCAACAUCGGCGGCGAGGUCUUCGCCGUGAAGAAGAUGAAGUGGGAUGCCUGCGAGGAGCUCAAGAUCCUGCAGAAGGUGAACCACAGCAACCUGGUGAAGCUGGAGGGGUUCUGCAUCAACACGGCGACGGGCGAUUGCUUCCUGGUGUACGAGUACGUGGAGAACGGGUCCCUGGACCUGUGCCUGCUGGACCGCGGCCGCGCGCGGCGGCUGGACUGGCGCACGCGCCUCCACAUCGCGCUGGACCUCGCCCACGGCCUCCAGUACAUCCACGAGCACACCUGGCCGCGCGUGGUGCACAAGGACGUCAAGAGCAGCAACGUCCUCCUCGACGCCCGCAUGCGCGCCAAGAUCGCCAACUUCGGCCUCGCCAAGACCGGCCACAACGCGGUCACCACCCACAUCGUGGGCACGCAGGGCUACAUCGCGCCCGAGUACCUCGUCGACGGCCUCGUCACCACCAAGAUGGACGUCUUCGCCUACGGCGUCGUCCUGCUCGAGCUCGUGUCCGGCCGCGAGGCCGCCGGCGACGGCGGCGGCGGCGACCUGCUGCUGGCGGACGCGGAGGAGAGGGUGUUCCGCGGCCGGGAGGACAGGCUGGAGGCGCGCGCGGCCGCGUGGAUGGACCCCGUGCUCGCCGAGCAGAACUGCCCGCCGGGGAGCGUGGCCACCGUGAUGGGCGUGGCCAGGGCGUGCCUGCAGCGGGACCCGGCCAAGAGGCCGAGCAUGGUGGACGUGGCCUACACCCUGUCCAGGGCGGACGAGUACUUCGCGGACUAUUCCGGCGAGAGCGUGUCCGUGGAUGGCAGCGGCGAGAUCGCCGCGCGGUGAGUCGCUUGUUUGUACUGCUCUGCUUUGUAGUUAAUCGGUCAGCACGGACGAUAUAGCUAGCUGGUGGCAAGCAUUAGUGUAUAGGAGUAGCUAAUAACGCGGCAUUAUGUCACGUUGGAGCUCCGUGAGAUUAUCCUGUGGGUAAAGUAGUAUACUAAAAUCAUAAGUGAGUGGAAAAUACACGGGAUAGGGUAUAUAUCAGUAUAUUUUUACGUUCAGUCACUUUUUAUAACAGGACGAGAAGCUUCUCUCCCUGCCCUACGAACCACUCAUGCAUGAGUUUAUGUGGACCGG